AACGAACGCUGGCGGCAUGCCUAACACAUGCAAGUCGAACGAGACCUUCGGGUCUAGUGGCGCACGGGUGCGUAACGCGUGGGAACCUGCCUUUAGGUUCGGAAUAACUCAGAGAAAUUUGAGCUAAUACCGGAUGAUGUCUUCGGACCAAAGAUUUAUCGCCUUUAGAUGGGCCCGCGUUGGAUUAGCUAGUUGGUGGGGUAAAGGCCUACCAAGGCGACGAUCCAUAGCUGGUCUGAGAGGAUGAUCAGCCACACUGGGACUGAGACACGGCCCAGACUCCUACGGGAGGCAGCAGUGGGGAAUAUUGGACAAUGGGCGAAAGCCUGAUCCAGCAAUGCCGCGUGAGUGAUGAAGUCCUUAGGGUUGUAAAGCUCUUUUACCCGAGAUGAUAAUGACAGUAUCGGGAGAAUAAGCUCCGGCUAACUCCGUG
rnacentral:rRNA from 1 species